rnacentral:lncRNA from 1 species
CCUGUCCUGCCCGGAGGUUACCCAGCAGAUGGCUAUGAUGAUGCUGGGGAGGUUUCUGACCCUGGGGAGGAUCCUGUCCCUGGGCAGGGGGACUGGGAAGUGCCCAGGACACCAGAGGAAGGAGCUGGGCCCAGGGAUGCAGCCACAGGGGGAAGCCUGCACUCCCGGAGAAGUGCUGGGUCCCUGGAGCUGAGGGAGACACCUCGUCACCUUUCCUGGGGACCACGGGCUAUGACGAUGUUGAAGAGGUGUCUCUGGCAUAUCCCCAUGAGGACACCAGGAUGUGACACCAGAGCCCCAUGCACAAGAGUUCCAGAGCCCCAGGCCAGCAGAGCCCAGCCCUGCUGAGCAGCUGGGUGCAGCCGGGAGGGAGGAGAGCUCAGUGCCACUGGGAGAGCCGUGAGUGCCAGGGA